rnacentral:lncRNA from 1 species
UUCAUCUGAAAAGUAUAUUCUGAAAAGAAAAAAGCUUUCAUGCUCCAAUGAUCACCCCAAGGAGUUUUCAGAUAUUGGCACUGAAAAGAACACCUCACCAAACUGUGGAACUUAGAGAAUUUGAUAUCAAGCUACUGAUGGGAGGUAGUGAGUUAUGAACAAGAACGAGUUUGAAGCUGGAUGGGUGCCCCAACUAAUCUGCCAUCGCAAGGGUUGAAUACUUAGCAAACUCAUGCAGUGGUCAUCAUUGGAUUUGGUAGGAUGUUGACAGACAAAAUGCUACUAUUGGCCAGCACAAGGUUUUACUGAUCAGCCUUCUUUUACCACCUUCGAAGUCUCCUUUCCUGACCUCACCAGUUGCUUAGCUGCUUCUGAGCAGCUGCAGGCAACGCACCACCUCAUCUAGCCUGAGUCCCUCCCCUCUUUAUAAGCCAACCCUCCCAAACUCCCAAGGCUAGUAGUAGACAAGGAAGCAUCAAUGGAGGGUCUCAUCCCGAUCAUCUACAAAGCUAUAAGCCAGUAUGCAAAUGGAGGACAAGAUCAUCUACAGGCCUCAUGGUUCCAUGAAUCACCUUCUGCUUACUACAUCCAACUGCCCGGCGACCCCAGCAGAUUCAGGUCAUCAGAUGCCCAAUCCUUCUCUUCCUCGGCCUUACCUCUGCCUGCUUCGACUUCAACGAAGUCUCCCCUCCGGCGAACCACCUCGCGUCGGCUGGCCUGAUGAUCACAAAGGUGAUCGACGCCAACCUGGCUUUCUUGGUGCAAACAAGAGUCCGCGUCGGUGAUCACGGGCCUCUGUUUUCUUCCUGCAAUAAGGCACAAACAUGCUAAGUCAGCAUACGUGUGGAUGUUCCGGCGAUAGAAAUAUAAGUGUGAUAUAUGGCAGUCUGUAAUUACUGAAUUUUACAGAGUAAGUAUGAUCUGCUGCUACUAUUUUUCAUGUGUUAGAAUUAAGACUUGCAGUUUCAAUCCGUAGGAUUAGGAAUAAUCAGCUUUUCUGGUAAGACAGAUUUUGGCAAGGAGGAGAAUUCUGUAUACCAUCCUGCUCUCAAUCGUCGGAUUCGAUCAUUAACGAUAAAUAAGCAAGCAUAUUGUAGGAUUAGAGACGAAUUCAUAUGAUCAAGAUUCAGAACUCUGCCCGGGUUCCAAAUUGCCAAGUGUUUUAUGGCUAAUACAAGGUCGAGAACUCCAUAUUGCAUUCGUUACUCCUCUUGCGAGAUCAGAUUGUAGAGCAACCAAUAUGGUGGUCUGGUCCUCGUUCAGAAUAAAGACCUCCAUUAAUUAGUAGAACCUGUAGAUUUGGCUACUCUGUUUCACCAUUGAAGAUCCAAGAAAUGAUCAUCAUGCAUCCUCGGUGUAAGAAAGUCACGAUAUGCAGGGUAUACUAACUACUCCAAGAAUUCUGUGCUCGUUUCAGAUGCAUUAGGCCAUCUAGUUUGCUAGGAACGAAAUCCCUCCGUGUUCGCAGCUCUAACUCUCGUCAUCAGUGUGCCGAUCUCCACUCCGAUAGACCAUCGGGUGGUGGUAUGCGGACACGGUCUGUGAACAGAACAGAUAGAUGCCGCAGGAAUGUUUCUUUUGUGAGCAGGAGAUACAGAAUGCAGUGGAUUCAAAUGCCAGGUGAAUUGGAAGACUAUCUGCCGACCAAAGCGCCCAUAGACCAUGAAAGGCCUCCUUCUAAUGGUCGGUCAGAUCAACACUACCAAGAAGGAAGGCUGCAUUUUGUGAACGGGAAACUAAUGAAAAGCACAUAGAGGCAGUGAUGACUGCUAGAUAGCUUCAUUUCAGAAAAGAAAGAAAAAAUUAUGCUAGUUAGCUUAACUGUGCAUCAAGAUGCCCUGAUUGAUUACCUGUGCAAUUUGUGGUAAGUU